rnacentral:tRNA from 1 species
CCUCUGGUAGCUCAGAUGGUAGAGCGGUGCACUGUAGAUCCAUAGGUCGCUGGUUCAAAUCCGGCCCAGAGGA